UACAGAGGUCUCAAGCGUUGUUCGGAUUCAUUGGGCGUAAAGCGCGUGUAGGCGGUAAAGUAUGUCGGGUGUGAAAGCCCUCAGCUUAACUGGGGAAGUGCGCCCGAAACUACUUUGCUGGAGUGUCGGAGAGGAAGGCGGAAUUCCCGGUGUAGAGGUGAAAUUCGUAGAUAUCGGGAGGAACACCAGUGGCGAAGGCGGCCUCUGGACGGACACUGACGCUGAGACGCGAAAGCGUGGGUAGCAAACAGG
rnacentral:rRNA from 1 species